GUGGCUUUUAAACCACUGUGGCUGUACAGAGAGUUUAUUAAGGCUGUGGCUGUCGGCAAAUCACAUUUCCCUCUGCAGAACACAGAAGAUGAAAAAUGGAUCAAAGGUUACAAGUGGUCCAUGAGCCACUUGCAUCCCAGAGAUCUAUUUCGCCUUUGAUAUAUUUUUAAAAUUUUUUGAUUGAGACAAUUUUAGAUUGGGUUUGUCCCAGAACCCAGCAUUCCCUGAUGUCUCAUAUGUGGCUGCUUCUCACAUUUAUGACAACUGAAUGAUAUCUGGUUUUAAUCCGGGAUUGUAAACAUCAGUUCUGGAUUCUGAUGCAAUGACAAAAAGCUGAAAGUGGAACCGUAAAAGGGUGGGACUCUUGUCAGAGCAAGAUGAAUGCUGAAAGCGAGAUGAGAGCCCUGAUGAGCCAUUUCCCUUCAGAAUCCAUCUCAAGACAAAGAGGAGGCCUCUAAGGAAGAAGGGACCCGGGGUGUGCUGGAAACUGAAGAUCACUUCCACAAACUGUUCCCAAAAGGAAUUACCAUGCAGCCAUUGGCCCAUUCAAAAAAUAAAAAUAAAAAGGUUAUGAAGAUUAAGCCAAUAAGUCUGAGAGGAAGAUAAAAAUCACAGGGGAUGUGUGCAAUGGCUCACACCUUUAAUCCUAAGACUUUGGGAGGUCAAGGUAGGUGGAUGGCUUGAGCCUAGGGAUUCGAGACCAGCCUGGGCAACAUAGUGAGACCCCAUUUCUACAAAAAAUACAAAAAAAAAAGCCAGGUGUGGUGGCAUACACCUGUGGUCCCAGCUACUUGAGAGGCUGAAGUGGGAGGAUUGCUUAAGCCCAGGAGGUCGAGGCUGCAGUGAGCUACGUACGAUCUCACCACU
rnacentral:lncRNA from 1 species